GGACCUGUAUUCAAUUAUGAUAUAUAAUUUGCAAUUAUAAGGUGUUUGCUAAGCCUGGUUUA
rnacentral:tRNA from 1 species